rnacentral:lncRNA from 1 species
CAAGAGUGACCUGAUCCACCGCAGUGACAACACCAGCUCCUUAAGCUGCUAGACCACCAGAGAACUCCUAUAUGCCACAUCUUGAAGGACAUUGCCAUACCCCAAAAAGGUAUGAUUUCCAAGCUACCUUCUUAGCUACUUAUUUAAAAUGAGGUUUUUCCAGCAUGGCAUCUGGCCAGUAGUUUCCUGAUAUUGCAAUUAAUGAAAAAAAAAAUCAGUAAAUUCUUUUAUUAUCCAUCCAUUGUGGCAACUCCUUCAUUAAAAAAUAUAAGUAUAUUCCACUUCCUGUGUCUAUAAAUCAGAUAGUCUGUGAAUUCUCAGAUAGUGAUGAUACUUACAAGAGGUAUCAAUCUCAGUAAAGACAAGAUACUGCCCCCUCGAGCCUCAAAAGGCUCCAGUGUAAUCAUUAUUCUAUCAAAUGGUCUCCUUGAGAGAUGGUACAUUACUGAAGUCUCAGCAUUAGUCUCUGUUACUACAAGGUGGACAGCUACAAUAUCUAAAUCACUUACCAUAACAAAUGCAUUGAUCACUACCUCAUUAGCCAUCACAUAAGCAAUGGAAUAGCUGAGGACAGGAGCUGGCUGACAUUCAUAGAACCAGUCCAGUCUGCCUUUGCCAGUCCAGUUGAACCACAGACUGAGUGGAUUAAGCAACAGAAAACCUGAGUUCCCUGGUGACACAGCAGGUUAAGGACCUGGUAUUGUCACUGCUGUGGUAUGGAUUCAGUCCUUGGCCCAGGGACCUUCCACAUGCCAUGAGGCUGGUAUGGCCCCCCCAAAAAAAGAAACAGAAAUUGACUUUUUACAGUUCCAAAGUCUGGAAGCCUGAGAUUAGGGUACCAGCAUGACCAGGCUGAGGGCUCUCUUUGUGGUUUAUAGACAGCCACCUUCUCACUGUGUCCUCAUGUAAGGAAGAGAGUGCUUUGGUGCCUCUUCCUCUUCUUUUAAGGGUACCAUUUUUAUAAGCUCUGUCCUUAUGACUUCAUUUAACCUGAAUCCUUCCUCACCAGUCCCAGACCCAAUUCAUUCACUCGGGGGAGGGGAGGAAGGGCAUCCAUGUAUUAAUAUGGGAACUAAUUAGCUGGGAGAUGCAAUUUCAUAGGCUCUGACUUGGCCUUUCCAGUUAUAACAGUGCUUACGCCAGAGGUCGGGGAACCAAUGCGAAGGUUCUGCCAUUGCUGAUUAUAUUUAUCCAGUUAGGCAUUUAGGGGCCAGAGAAAUGACCGCUGGAUUUAAAAAAUAUAUAUAUAUUCACUGUGAGAUGGGCUUGGAUCAGUCCCCCACUUAGCAUCUCGUUUCCAUAAACCCCACUCUAUUGUGGAGGCCUUGAUGGCACUUUGGUGUCAAUUUCAGCUCAGAACAAGUAUCCAAUAGUCCUCAAAAAUAAGUAGCUCCUCGUUUAUCAAAUACGGCUCUUCUGGUAAGAGGCCUUAAGUCCCUUUGGAGAAACACUGAGGAACUAUGUAAACGCAUGCUGUGGUGUUGCAGGGUCCUCCUGAAGGAGACUCCGUCUCUUUUCAAUCAGUAAGCUCUGCUUCUGAGAACGAACUCUGGUCUGAAAACUAGGUGAGAAAUUGUGUUUUCCCAUUAUAUUUGCCAACAUCAGCCUUCUGCUUAUUCAAUCUUGAACGUUUUGUGUAGAUGAGUUAAACAAUUGUGUACUGCCUUUCCACUGAUUCCAUUCUUUUCUCCUAAGAACACCGUGGUCUAUUAGCCAUCACCAAACAGCUCUGUGGGCCCAAGUCCCUAGGCUACAAUUUGGCCUUGCUGCCAGUUACUUUGAUGCUGAUUCCCUUGCCUCCAACAGUGAGGUGCCUAUACCAGGUGUCUGCUAGUCCAGAAUCCUAUAAAUCCCUGGAUCCAAGGGAAUCCAGAUCCAUUGCAGCAUUUUCUACUCAGCCCUGACUUGGAAUGACAGUCACCAGUGAAUUUGACAAUUCCAGUGGCCCCUUCAUUAUACAUUUUUUUUUUUUAACUAUUUUACUGAAGCGUA